GAUGAACGCUGGCGGCGUGCCUAAUACAUGCAAGUCGAGCGAACGGAUGAGAAGCUUGCUCCUCUGAUGUUAGCGGCGGACGGGUGAGUAACACGUGGAUAACCUACCUAUAAGACUGGGAUAACUUCGGGAAACCGGAGCUAAUACCGGAUAAUAUUUUGAACCGCAUGGUUCAAAAGUGAAAGACGGUCUUGCUGUCACUUAUAGAUGGAUCCGCGCUGCAUUAGCUAGUUGGUAAGGUAACGGCUUACCAAGGCAACGAUGCAUAGCCGACCUGAGAGGGUGAUCGGCCACACUGGAACUGAGACACGGUCCAGACUCCUACGGGAGGCAGCAGUAGGGAAUCUUCCGCAAUGGGCGAAAACCUGACGGAGCAACGCCGCGUGAGUGAUGAAGGUCUUCGGAUCGUAAAACUCUGUUAUUAGGGAAGAACAUAUGUGUAAGUAACUGUGCACAUCUUGACGGUACCUAAUCAGAAAGCCACGGCUAACUACGUGCCAGCAGCCGCGGUAAUACGUAGGUGGCAAGCGUUAUCCGGAAUUAUUGGGCGUAAAGCGCGCGUAGGCGGUUUUUUAAGUCUGAUGUGAAAGCCCACGGCUCAACCGUGGAGGGUCAUUGGAAACUGGAAAACUUGAGUGCAGAAGAGGAAAGUGGAAUUCCAUGUGUAGCGGUGAAAUGCGCAGAGAUAUGGAGGAACACCAGUGGCGAAGGCGACUUUCUGGUCUGUAACUGACGCUGAUGUGCGAAAGCGUGGGGAUCAAACAGG
rnacentral:rRNA from 1 species